AUUGAACGCUGGCGGCAGGCUUAACACAUGCAAGUCGAGCGGGGUGAUGGUGCUUGCACUAUCACUUAGCGGCGGACGGGUGAGUAAUGCUUAGGAAUCUGCCUAUUAGUGGGGGACAACAUCUCGAAAGGGAUGCUAAUACCGCAUACGUCCUACGGGAGAAAGCAGGGGAUCACUUGUGACCUUGUGCUAAUAGAUGAGCCUAAGUCGGAUUAGCUAGUUGGUGGGGUAAAGGCCUACCAAGGCGACGAUCUGUAGCGGGUCUGAGAGGAUGAUCCGCCACACUGGGACUGAGACACGGCCCAGACUCCUACGGGAGGCAGCAGUGGGGAAUAUUGGACAAUGGGGGGAACCCUGAUCCAGCCAUGCCGCGUGUGUGAAGAAGGCCUUAUGGUUGUAAAGCACUUUAAGCGAGGAGGAGGCUUACUUAGUUAAUACCUGGGAUAAGCGGACGUUACUCGCAGAAUAAGCACCGGCUAACUCUGUGCCAGCCGCCGCAGUAA
rnacentral:rRNA from 1 species